rnacentral:rRNA from 1 species
AUUGAACGCUGGCGGCAUGCCUUACACAUGCAAGUCGAACGGUAACAGGUCUUCGGAUGCUGACGAGUGGCGAACGGGUGAGUAAUGCAUCGGAACGUGCCCAGUAGUGGGGGAUAGCCCGGCGAAAGCCGGAUUAAUACCGCAUACGACCUGAGGGUGAAAGGGGGGGAUCGCAAGACCUCUCGCUAUUAGAGCGGCCGAUGUCGGAUUAGCUAGUUGGUGGGGUAAAGGCCCACCAAGGCAACGAUCCGUAGCUGGUCUGAGAGGACGACCAGCCACACUGGGACUGAGACACGGCCCAGACUCCUACGGGAGGCAGCAGUGGGGAAUUUUGGACAAUGGGCGCAAGCCUGAUCCAGCCAUGCCGCGUGCAGGAUGAAGGCCUUCGGGUUGUAAACUGCUUUUGUACGGAACGAAAAGGCUCUGGUUAAUACCUGGGGUCCAUGACGGUACCGUAAGAAUAAGCACCGGCUAACUACGUGCCAGCCGCCGCCGUAAUAC